GGAAAAUGCUCGUUUAUCCUCAAAGAAAAUGGAAGCUGUCAUGUCUGCCUUAAAAAUGGAACGGCAGGCUCGAAGCAAGAAAACCAAAGGCUAUAUUGAAGUCAGACAACAAUGUGCUGAGGAAUUGGAGCAGAUAGUCAAGAAGACUUACCGAAGCGGUGCUCAAUCAGGACAAUCAAGUUUGUCAGGUUUGGCUGAAUCCAGAUUUCUGUGUGUGGGAGAAAUUGCUU